UUGACCUCGGAUCAGGUAGGAAUACCCGCUGAACUUAAGCAUAUCAAUAAGGGCGGAGGAA
rnacentral:rRNA from 1 species